UACGUAGGGCACAAGCGUUAUCCGGAGUUACUGGGCGUAAAGGGCGUGUAGGCGGAUCAUUAAGUCUAUUCUGAAAGCUCCUGGCUAAACUGGGAGAGGCGAAUGGAGACUGUUGGUCUAGAGUGAGAAAGAGGAAAGUGGAAUUCCGCGUGUAGUGGUGAAAUGCGUAGAGAUGCGGAGGAACACCAGUGGCGAAAGCGGCGUUCUGGUCCUUAACUGACGCUGAGGCGCGAAAGCAAGGGGAGCGAACAGG
rnacentral:rRNA from 1 species